GGUGCAAGUUGCGAGACCUGAGAGGCUGCCGCGCGCAUUUAUAGUUGUAGACAUCUCGUAUUAUAUAAAAAUAUAUCAUUAUAUGAUUUGUAAUUAUAUUAUUAAAAUGGUACAUACUAUUUGGGCUGUGAAAGAUUGCCAAUCUUCAUCUAGUGGUAUUCAACUUUUUUUACAAUGUUGUACUACUUUGUUGCAUGAUUUCUUUUUAUGGUGUAAUACUGCAAUAACGAGUGGGCCAGUAUAGUAAAGCAGCAGUGGCAGCUUGUAGAAAAGCAGUACAAGAGAAUAACACUGAAGCUCUUAUUAAAAUAUUACAAGUUGGAGAUGCAUAAAAAAAAA
rnacentral:misc_RNA from 1 species